AACGAACGCUGGCGGCGUGGAUAAGACAUGCAAGUCGAACGGGACAGACCGAGUAGCAAUAUUUGGAAUGUUCAGUGGCGAACGGGUGCGUAACACGUGGAUAACAUUCCGGAAAGCGGGGAAUAGCCCAGGGAAACUUGGAUUAAUACCGCAUGUGGCCGCAAGGCUAAAGACGGGGACCGCAAGGCCUGUCACUUUCCGAUUGGUCCGCGGCCUAUCAGCAAGUUGGCGGGGUAAUGGCCCACCAAGGCUACGACGGGUAGCUGGUCUUAGAGGACGACCAGCCACACUGGAACUGAGACACGGUCCGGACACCUACGGGUGGCAGCAGUCGAGAAUCUUUCACAAUGGGGGCAACCCUGAUGGAGCGACGCCGCGUGGAGGAUAAGGUCUUCGGAUUGUAAACUCCUGUCAUGCGAGAACAAGGUACUCAGGCUAAUAACCUGAUUGUUUGAUGGUACCGCAAGAGGAAGAGACGGCUAACUCUGUGCCAGCCGCCGCGGUAAGAC
rnacentral:rRNA from 1 species